UACGAAGGGGGCUAGCGUUGCUCGGAAUCACUGGGCGUAAAGGGCGCGUAGGCGGCCGAUUAAGUCGGGGGUGAAAGCCUGUGGCUCAACCACAGAAUUGCCUUCGAUACUGGUUGGCUUGAGACCGGAAGAGGACAGCGGAACUGCGAGUGUAGAGGUGAAAUUCGUAGAUAUUCGCAAGAACACCAGUGGCGAAGGCGGACUCACUGGCCCGGUACUGACGCUGAGGUGCGUGAAACGAG
rnacentral:rRNA from 1 species